UCCGAUUGACACAGAAUGGCGGCCGGCUGGUCACAAACAAUCUUGUAUAACAGUUAAACGUCUGUGGUUACAGUGAAACAGCAUUUGACGCAGAACGCAUAACUUGGAGGUUUUUCUGCUGGCCUACAUGAUGUACGUGACGAUUGGUCAGGUUGCAGCCUUGGAGAAACAGCCCCCAGAUGGUCUUCAGGAGCUUUCUGGCACAUCUCCAGGAUGCUGACCCAGAGCAUUGAAAGGUUGAGCACUGGCAGCGAUCUGACUGAUUCUGCCCAGCUGCUGACGUGCAGAGCAGCGCACAUUGAUACGAGGACAAAAAUAGCUUGCUGGGAUACACAGCUUGACGCAACUGUUCAGAAUUAAAAUCACUGCCAAUUUAUUCUGUCCAACGUCAACUUUCUAUGAGAUGACAACCGUCACAGUGUAGAAAUAUUUAGUUAUUGUGUAUAAAGGAUGUUUGAGUUAAUUUCGUUUGAUCUGUGCUAUCACUGUCCUAAGUGGAGGCUUUAGAAAAAAUCUAGUUUGUAAGACUGGUCGGGUGCAAUCUAUUUGAAAUGAGAGCAGUUAAAAUAUUCAGAAAAGAAGUAACCCCAAGUCAAGUUAUGUGUGCCCUCCUCAUC